GGGCGGUUAGCUCAACUGGAAGAGCACUCGGUUUACACCCGAGAGGUCGUAGGUUCGAACCCUUCACCGCCCA
rnacentral:tRNA from 1 species